GUACUCCCUUUGGCAGCACAGAUACUAAAAUUGGAAUGAUACAGAGAAGAUUAGCAUGGCCCCUGCGCAAGGAUGACACGAGUUUUUAAAAAAAUAAUUAAAAAAAA